UACGGAGGGUGCAAGCGUUACUCGGAAUCACUGGGCGUAAAGAGCGCGUAGGCGGAAUAGCAAGUCAGAUGUGAAAUCCUAUGGCUUAACUAUAGAACUGCAUUUGAAACUGAUUAUCUAGAGUGUGGGAGAGGUAGGUGGAAUUCUUGGUGUAGGGGUAAAAUCCGUAGAGAUCAAGAGGAAUACUCAUUGCGAAGGCGACCUGCUAGAACAUAACUGACGCUGAUGCGCGAAAGCGUGGGGAGCAAACAGG
rnacentral:rRNA from 1 species